rnacentral:rRNA from 1 species
UACGGGGGGGCAAGCGUUGUUCGGAAUUACUGGGCGUAAAGGGCUCGUAGGCGGCCAACUAAGUCGGAUGUGAAAUCCCCAGGCUUAACCUGGAAUUGCAUCCGAUACUGGAUGGCUUGAAUCCGGGAGAGGGAUGCGGAAUUCCAGGUGUAGCGGUGAAAUGCGUAGAUAUCUGGAGGAACACCGGUGGCGAAGGCGGCAUCCUGGACCGGCAUUGACGCUGAGGAGCGAAAGCCAGGGAGCAAACGGG